rnacentral:rRNA from 1 species
AUUGAACGCUGGCGGUAUGCUUAACACAUGCAAGUCGAACGGUAACAGGUCUUCGGACGCUGACGAGUGGCGGACGGGUGAGUAACGCGUAGGAAUCUGCCUAUUAGUGGGGGACAACAUGUGGAAACGCAUGCUAAUACCGCAUACGCCCUACGGGGGAAAGGAGGGGACCUUCGGGCCUUUCGCUAAUAGAUGAGCCUGCGUUAGAUUAGCUAGUUGGUGGGGUAAAGGCCUACCAAGGCGACGAUCUAUAGCUGUUCUGAGAGGAAGAUCAGCCACACUGGGACUGAGACACGGCCCAGACUCCUACGGGAGGCAGCAGUGGGGAAUAUUGGACAAUGGGCGCAAGCCUGAUCCAGCAAUACCGCGUGUGUGAAGAAGGCCCUAGGGUUGUAAAGCACUUUCAAUGGGGAGGAAAAAGAAGUAAGACUAAUACCUUGCUUAUUGACAUUACCCAUACAAGAAGCACCGGCUAACUCCGUGCCAGCAGCCGCGGUAA